UUGGAGGGCAAGUSUGGUGCCAGCAGCCGCGGUAAUUCCAGCUCCAAUAGCGUAUAUUAAAGUUGRGWSKKUUAAAAAGCUCGUAGUUGAAUUUCGAGAUCAGUACGCUGGUCGUGCCUUCGGUAUGCACUGGUGUCACUGGUUUCUCCCUUCUGAAGAACCGUCAUGUCAUUAAGUUGGUGUGGCGGGGAAUCAGGACUGUUACUUUGAAAAAAUUAGAGUGUUUAAAGCAGGCUCGCGCUUGAAUACAUUAGCAUGGAAUAAUGAAAUAGGACGUUUGACCCUAUUUUGUUGGUUUCUAGGAUCGACGUAAUGAUUAAUAGGGAUAGUUGGGGGCAUUAGUAUUCAAUUGUCAGAGGUGAAAUUCUUGGAUUUAUUGAAGACUAACUWCUGCGAAAGCAUUUGCCAAGGAUGUUUUCAUUAAUCAAGAACGAAAGUUAGGGGAUCGAAGACGAUCAGAUACCGUYGUAGUCUUAACCAUAAACUAUGCCGACUAGGGAUCGGAUGAUGUUAAUUUUUUAAUGACUCWKUCGGCGCCUUACGGGAAACAAUC
rnacentral:rRNA from 1 species